GACGAACGCUGGCGGCGUGCCUAAUACAUGCAAGUCGAACGAGAGCAACCGGUGCUUGCACUGGUCAAUCUAGUGGCGAACGGGUGAGUAACACGUGGGUAACCUGCCCAUCAGAGGGGGAUAACAUCCGGAAACGGAUGCUAAAACCGCAUAGGUCUUCGAACCGCAUGGUUUGAAGAGGAAAAGAGGCGCAAGCUUCUGCUGAUGGAUGGACCCGCGGUGCAUUAGCUAGUUGGUGAGGUAACGGCUUACCAAGGCCGUGAUGCAUAGCCGACCUGAGAGGGUGAUCGGCCACAUUGGGACUGAGACACGGCCCAAACUCCUACGGGAGGCAGCAGUAGGGAAUCUUCCGCAAUGGACGCAAGUCUGACGGAGCAACGCCGCGUGAGUGAAGAAGGUUUUCGGAUCGUAAAACUCUGUUGUUAGAGAAGAACAAGUGCUAGAGUAACUGUUAGCGCCUUGACGGUAUCUAACCAGAAAGCCACGGCUAACUACGUG
rnacentral:rRNA from 1 species